rnacentral:rRNA from 1 species
UCGAGAAUUUUUCACAAUGGGCGCAAGCCUGAUGGAGCGACGCCGCGUGGGGGAUGAAUGGCUUCGGCCCGUAAACCCCUGUCAUUUGCGAUCAACCGUUGUUGUUUAAGAGAUGACAACCUGAUAGUAGCGAAAGAGGAAGGGACGGCUAACUCUGUGCCAGCAGCCGCGGUAAUACAGAGGUCCCAAGCGUUGUUCGGAUUCACUGGGCGUAAAGGGUGCGUAGGUGGCAAGGUAAGUCGGAUGUGAAAUGCUGGAGCUCAACUCCGGAACUGCGUAGGAAACUGUCAUGCUAGAGGGUUGGAGGGGGGACUGGAAUUCUCGGUGUAGCAGUGAAAUGCGUAGAUAUCGAGAGGAACACCCGUGGCGAAGGCGAGUCCCUAGACAACUCCUGACGCUGAGGCACGAAAGCUAGGGGAGCAAACA